rnacentral:rRNA from 1 species
GGCUUAGAAGCAGCCAUCCUUGAAAGAGUGCGUAAUAGCUCACUGGUCAAGUGAUUCUGCGCCGAUAAUGUAGCGGGGCUCAAGUACACCGCCGAAGUUGUGGCAAUGACCCUUUGAGGGUUGUUGGGUAGGGGAGCGUCGUGUGGCCGGUGAAGCUGCGGUGUAAACCAGUGGUGGAGGCUAUGCGAGUGAGAAUGCAGGCAUGAGUAGCGAAAGAUGAGUGAGAAACUCAUCCGCCGGAUGAUCAAGGGUUCCAGGGUCAAGUUAAUCUGCCCUGGGUUAGUCGGGGCCUAAGGCGAGGCCGACAGGCGUAGUCGAUGGAUAACGGGUUGAUAUUCCCGUACCGGUGAAAAACCGCCCAUACUGAUAUUGUGAUGCUAACCAUGCGAAGCAUGAUGUGCAGGCUUUUGUUUGUGUGUUGUGUGGGUUGUGGGACCCGAUCUUUGGAGGUAAACGUGUUAACAGGUGUGACGCAGGAAGGUAGCCAAGCCACGCGAUGGUUGUCGUGGUCUAAGCGUGUAGGGUUGUCGGUUGUUAAAUGCGCCGGCUGUGUGCCUGAGACGUGAUGGGACCCCGUUUUUGGGGGAUUUGGUGAUCCUAUGCUGCCGAGAAAAGCAUCGGCGUGAGGUUUUAGCCGCCCGUACCCUAAACCGACACAGGUGAUCAGGUAGAGAAUACUAAGGCGAUCGAGAGAAUCAUGGUUAAGGAACUCGGCAAAAUGCCCCCGUAACUUCGGGAGAAGGGGGGCCCUGAGCGUGAUCUGCCCGUGCGGUGGGGAGCGUGUAGGGGUCGCAGAGACCAGGGGGAAGCGACUGUUUAUCAAAAACACAGGUCCGUGCGAAGUCGUAAGACGAUGUAUACGGACUGACUCCUGCCCGGUGCUGGAAGGUUAAGAGGAUUGGUUAGCCCUUUUUGGGCGAAGCUGAGAAUUUAAGCCCCAGUAAACGGCGGUGGUAACUAUAACCAUCCUAAGGUAGCGAAAUUCCUUGUCGGGUAAGUUCCGACCUGCACGAAUGGAGUAACGACUUCCCUACUGUCUCAACCAUGAACUCGGCGAAAUUGCAGUACGAGUAAAGAUGCUCGUUUCGCGCAGCAGGACGGAAAGACCCCGUGACCUUUACUAUAGUUUGGUAUUGGUGUUUGGUUUGGCUUGUGUAGGAUAGGUGGGAGACUGUGAAGCAUGGACGCUAGUUUGUGUGGAGUCGUUGUUGAAAUACCACUCUGGUCAAUCUGGAUGUCUAACUUCGGGCCAUGAUCUGGUUCAGGGACAGUGCCUGAUGGGUAGUUUAACUGGGGCGGUUGCCUCCUAAAGUGUAACGGAGGCGCCCAAAGGUUCCCUCAGCCUGGUUGGCAAUCAGGUGUUGAGUGUAAGUGCACAAGGGAGCUUGACUGUGAGACUGGCAGGUCGAGCAGGGACGAAAGUCGGGACUAGUGAUCCGGCGGUACGUUGUGGAACGGCCGUCGCUCAACGGAUAAAAGGUACCUCGGGGAUAACAGGCUGAUCUUGCCCAAGAGUCCAUAUCGACGGCAUGGUUUGGCACCUCGAUGUCGGCUCGUCGCAUCCUGGGGCUGGAGUCGGUCCCAAGGGUUGGGCUGUUCGCCCAUUAAAGCGGUACGCGAGCUGGGUUCAGAACGUCGUGAGACAGUUCGGUCCCUAUCCGCUGCGCGCGUUGGAAAUUUGAGAAAGGCUGUCCUUAGUACGAGAGGACCGGGACGGACGAACCUCUGGUAUGUCAGUUGUACCGCCAGGUGCAUGGCUGAUUGGCUACGUUCGGGAGGGAUAACCGCUGAAAGCAUCUAAGCGGGAAGCCUGUUUCGAGAUGAGAUUUCCUGGCACUUUUGGUGUGUGAGGCUCCUUAUAGAUGAUGAGGUUGAUAGGCCGGGUAUGGAAGCGGGGACUGAAGACUCGUGGAGUUGACUGGUACUAAUAGGCCGAAGGCUUACUU